AUUGAACGCUGGCGGCAUGCCUUACACAUGCAAGUCGAACGGCAGCACGGGAGCUUGCUCCUGGUGGCGAGUGGCGAACGGGUGAGUAAUACAUCGGAACGUACCCAGGAGUGGGGGAUAACGUAGCGAAAGUUACGCUAAUACCGCAUAUUCUGUGAGCAGGAAAGCGGGGGAUCGCAAGACCUCGCGCUCUUGGAGCGGCCGAUGUCGGAUUAGCUAGUUGGUGAGGUAAAAGCUCACCAAGGCGACGAUCCGUAGCAGGUCUGAGAGGAUGAUCUGCCACACUGGGACUGAGACACGGCCCAGACUCCUACGGGAGGCAGCAGUGGGGAAUUUUGGACAAUGGGCGGAAGCCUGAUCCAGCCAUGCCGCGUGAGUG
rnacentral:rRNA from 1 species